CCAAUAAUUCGAAAGAAACCAACAAAUACCUUAUCGCAUGGAUUAUUGAUUUUUUCUUGGAUGCUGAUUCUCUUGGUUUUCAAUUCUCAGUGGCAAUUUGAUGGUUUUUUUGACCAUUCCAUUCCAGGUCUGCCCAAUAUGUGCAGCAACUAAGAAAAGAUGCAAUUGGGCAUUUCAUAAAUGCAGCAUGCUCAAUCUUUGAAGGAAUUCUGGAGUGUUGCCUCAGCAACAGUAGCAAGCACUGCUGGAAUUACCACCAUUUCUUGGUGCAGAUUCAUGAAACCUGCUCCAUAGCCACUUGAUCAACAGUUCUUUGUUCAAAACCUUUUUCAGAUCCUAAAGACCACACAAAAGAUGCAUCUUCUGGUUAUGCUAUCUCAACUGCUAAGGAGAUAGGAAAAAGAAUCCAAGUAAAAAUGGUCAGCUAAAGCUGGAACAUAUGGAAACGGUAGAAGGCACUUGUUGUCAAUGAAACUUUACUAACCAGCAACACUAUGAGAAAGAAAGUCACUGGAACAUUUAAAUAUGACAGAGUGAACUGGAAUGAAGGACAGCUAAUGAUGCUUAUCAAAUUGAAGCCAGUGGUGGUGGUGGUGGUGGUGAUUCUGAUGGGCGGAGGAGAAGGACAGGUGGUGGUGGUGGAUGGUGAGGGCUGCGGAUGGUGGUGGUUGUGAUGAUGAUGGUGGAGAAUAUACAGGAAGUGGUAUGGUUGACAUCUUUCCGAUUUAGGGAAGUGUUAGUGAGAUUGAAACUUAUGAACGCAUGAGGAACCAUCCUGAGCAUGCUUUGCCAUUCCAGAAAAUAUUCCUCUCAAAAAAAUUUUUUGUGGGUCUGCCCAGUUACAGGUUCACAAUCCCUUCACGCGUAUAAGUCAGUACGCUGCUCAGAUUUCAUUUCUACAGGGUGCAAAUCUUCUGCAUAACCUCUUGUAUGCUGUAACUUAUUGUUUUCAUUAAACUUACGUAAUGGGGAUAAGGCGGAGCAGCUACUGAAUUCCAACACUAAAAGCCAUACGAUAUUCCUCUGAUUGUAGUGGAUCCAUUUUGUUAAUAAUGCUCGAGUUUCUUGUCUGACUUCCAGUGGAUAUUACAGAAUGCGUCCACCACAGAUUGAGGGGAAGUUUACUGCUCAUCUCAAUUGAUUAGAUGAAAGGAAUUAUAUGCAGGUGGAAGAUAGAGAUGGGAAAGUUGUAAACUGGUUGGUGUGCUGUAUUGAUACUUGAUAGUACGUUGUACAGAAAGAUCGAGGAAGGAAUUGAGGGGAAGCAGUAGGUUUGUAUUUGCAAA